CCUACGGGUGGCAGCAGUGGGGAAUAUUGGACAAUGGGGGGAACCCUGAUCCAGCCAUGCCGCGUGUGUGAAGAAGGCCCUCGGGUUGUAAAGCACUUUCAGUGAGGAAGAACGCCUGGUGGUUAAUACCCAUCAGGAAAGACAUCACUCACAGAAGAAGCACCGGCUAACUCCGUGCCAGCAGCCGCGGUAAUACGGAGGGUGCGAGCGUUAAUCGGAAUUACUGGGCGUAAAGCGCGCGUAGGUGGCUUGAUAAGCCGGUUGUGAAAGCCCCGGGCUCAACCCGGGAACGGCAUCCGGAACUGUCAAGCUAGAGUGCAGGAGAGGAAGGUAGAAUUCCCGGUGUAGCGGUGAAAUGCGUAGAGAUCGGGAGGAAUACCAGUGGCGAAGGCGGCCUUCUGGACUGACACUGACACUGAGGUGCGAAAGCGUGGGUAGCAAACAGGAUUAGAUACCCUUGUAGUC
rnacentral:rRNA from 1 species